UACGACUACAUAUCAGGCAUAUCAAUAAGCGGAGGAAAAGAAACUAACUAGGAUUCCCUCAGUAACGGCGAGUGAAGCGGGAAGAGCUCAAAUUUGAAAUCUUCAAGGUUUUACCUUGACGAAUUGUAGUUUAAAGAAGUGUUUUCUGUUGGAGUUUUGGUAAAAGUUCUUUGGAAUAGGACAUCAUAGAGGGUGAGAAUCCCGUAUUUGACCAUUAUUUCCAGCUUUGUGAUACACUUUCAAAGAGUCGGAUUGUUUGGGAAUGCAGUCCAAAAUGGGUGGUAAAUUUCAUCUAAAGCUAAAUAUUGGCGAGAGACCGAUAGCGAACAAGUACCGUGAGGGAAAGAUGAAAAGAACUUUGAAAAGAGAGUUAAACAGUACGUGAAAUUGUCAAAAGGGAAGCGUUUGACACCAGUGUUGUUUCUAGCGAAAAUCAAUUUAUGAUGGCUUGAUGCUAAGCUUUAAGACUUUAUCCGCUUGUUGUUUAGUUUUCUUGUCUUUGUGAAUGCACUUUUCGUUGAACAAGUCAACAUCAAUUUCUUUUGCUGUAAAAGGGUAAGAGGAAGGUAGCUUCGGCUUCGGUUGAAGUGUUUAUAGCCUUUUAUCUCUGCAGUCGGAGAGAUUGAGGUCUGCAGCGUAGACUCUUCGGGGUUAGAUACGUCGGUGCUAAGCUAUAGCUUUUCAUAGACAACUUGUUGACUAUGUUUAGUCAUGUGGCUUACCCGCUGGCGCUAUUUUACCUACGCUUAGGAUGUUGACUGAUAUGUAGUCGU
rnacentral:rRNA from 1 species